rnacentral:lncRNA from 1 species
GUUUUUUGAGUUGGAGUUCAAUUCUCCAUGACUAGACAAAAUAAGAGUUCGCAAAUCCUUAGAGACAAUAGGAAUGGUCGAUUUUUAAAAGUCUGAAAAAAGAGAUAAGAUCGACAGAAGUGAUUUCGAGUUUGGAAAUAGUUGAAAGAUUAGUCGAUUUUGAAACGACGACAACAGGUGUAGAGUUUUUUCUAGAGUAAAUUACACGAAUGGUCCCUAUGGUUUGGGGUAAUUUUCAUGUUUGGAUCCUAACCUUUUUUUCUAACUCGGACAGUCCUCAUGGUAUGUUUUUAUUACGUCAAUGGUCCCUGCCAGACAUAAAAUGACUAUAUUGCCCUUAAUUAUUAUUGAUAUUUUGUUAUUUUUUUCAAUUAAUAUUAAAUAAACUAAACGUAUUAAAUAUUGUUAUUAAAGGGACCCACCCCACCUUAAUACUCUUCCAUUUCCCGACACCACCUCCGGUCACAAUCUCCGACUCUGACACCGCCUCCUAUCAUCAUCUCCGGUUCCAUCUCCGGCUCCGGUCAUCGUCUAUCCGCUAUAGAUCCAUGGAAAUCACCGUAAACAUAACACAAACUACCUACUUGACCUUCAACAACAAAUCAAAAAAUACAUGUACAACAAAAGCUUUAACUAUAAUCCAAAAAGCAAAAUAAAACCUGAAAAUCAUAUCUAAAAACCAAAAUGGAACAUACGAUUCAAAUCCAAAUCCAACAUCGAAGUUGCAAUUCAAACAAAAAUCAAAAACCAAAACUUGUGCAAAAAACUCUGAUAUACUCACAAAAUCAAAAAUCCCAAAUACAGUCCCAAAUGCAAAUCAAUUAAUAAAAGCAAACCUAAAUUCAGGUGAAUCGACAUCAAAGACCAGAUUUGAACAUUGAGACUCGAUUAUGUAUCCUACAAUUCCUAAAUCGUACCCCCCNUCUCUCUCUCUCUCUCUCUUCGUAGCACCAGACUCCUUUAUUCAUGGAAAUCAGAAGCGAAAUCUCUCAAGUACCAAGCCAAAUGGAAUCAAAUAAACAUAUAAAUCUCACUCCUAAACAGAGAAUAGAAAGAUGAGGGGCGAUGCCGGUGGUAGCAUAAGAACAUGCGAUGAUGGCGCAAAAACAGGAGGAGUUGGCAUAAAAACAGGGCACAAGAACAGGAAACGAUGGCGAAGAAGAUGAUCAGACAAAGCCAGCGACAGAGAGUUUUUUGACGAAAGAAGCAAGUUAAACAUUUGUUCAGGCAAGAAAGGGGAUGGGUGAUGCAGCCUCCGAUGAAGACAAACGAUGGAGGUGGAAGAAAGGGGUGUGUGGAGGUUGUAUAGAGCAAAACAUGGGUAGGUUAGGAAAGAAAUAAUGGGUCCAUAUUAUAUUCUUUUUUUAUUUAUUAUUUUAGUUUGUUUAAUAAAUUAACAAAUACAAAAUAAAAAAUAAUUAUUAAGGGCAAAAUAGUCAUAUUAUAUCUGAUAGGACCAUAGACGCAACUAAAACAUACCAUAAGGACUAUCCGAGUUAGAAAAAAAGGUUAGGGACCAAACGUGCAAAUUACCACGAACCAUAGGGACUAUCCAUGUAAUUUACUCUUUUUUCUAUUAUGAACGGCGAUGACAGAAACGUAAAUCGUGAUUUCGAUUUUUGUUGAACAGAGAAAGGGGACGAUGAAUGUUUAUUCGGGUCGGGUAUUUAGAACCGCGUAAGCUCUUAUUUGGGUAACCCAGACCAAAUAACCCAAAAACCGAAUAAACAUAAUAUAGAUACCUAAAACCUGAAUCGAAUUGUUUAUUCGGUUCUUAUUCGGUUUAGAUUUAUGGCUCAAAUUCUCAUCCCUACAAUUAAGUAUUGAUGGAGGUUAUAUAUAGACCAUCUUUUUUUUUUUAUCAUGAAAUUAUCAUCUUUCUUGUGAAGAAAAAAAAUAAAUAAAUAAAAUAAAAUAAAAUAAAAAAACACCUGUCAUUUGCGGGCUUACUUUUUUCCAACACAAAAACAUUUUUAUGACUAAAAUUUCAAUUAUAUAAUAUUUUUUGUGGAUGUAGCACUUUUUUCGAAUGAAGGACGAACAUUUCUGUGAAUUUUUCACAUUCAUAUAUACAAAAAAUAUUGUCUAAAAUAUUUAGUUAGAUCCGGGUUAAAUCCAUGGGCAAGAAAAGGCCCAUAUUAAAUCAUCGUUGUUCUACACAGCAAAUCAAACUACUCUUAUUAUUAUCUAUAUGUCCCAUACGAGACUUGAACCCUCAACCCCAAUAAAAGAUGACAACAUUGAUACCGUUUGGUUAGAAACCAUUUGGUAAAUCGUCGUCUCGUGGCAAUACAUUCAUGUGCACUUUAACAAACUCUAAAACAAUAACGUUCGUGAGAAUGCAAAACACUUGUGUUCCUCUUCCUAUGAUGCAUCCAUCUUCCUACGACUCAGGCUAAGGGGUAUCAUGACAACAUCCUCACUAGUGAAGAGCAUGCCACAUCAUCAAGGUAGUCACUCCACAACAUGUUUACUUAGCCUUGGAGGCGGUGUACGUUAGUCAACAUGCAGUGAAUAAGAGAUAGAGAGAGAAAGAGAAAGAAAAAGAAAAAGUGAGAGAGAGAGAGAGAGAGGAAGAGAGAAAUAGACACAAUCAACUCCCAAACAACUCUAUGAACUUCCGUAAAGAGCGUCACUCCAAAACACAAUUAUUAUGCUUCGGGGUGGUGUUCACUAGUGAAAAUCUCCUCUACAUGUGAGUCUUACUAGUGAAAAUGGCCUAAUACCCCUUAGCCUCACAAGACAUUUAUGUGUGAUGGGUUCUAAGCAAAUCGCCUUCCUCCAUCUAUAGACAUUGCGUCCACCCUAGUAGCCGACGCUCUUGAACGACUAUCGUCGGUGACAAAAAUCUGAUUACUUAUUGGUGUUUCAUUGCCUUAUCAAUAGGGAUGGGUUGAAGAUUAACAGUAAAACCAUGGUUAAUGAUGACCUAUGUGUGACAACUGCAAAAAUUGUCACCAAUCACUAACCACAAACGUAACAAACAUCAAAGAAAAUAGAUUAAAUAUAUAAUAUUUGUCAAUCUAUGAUGAAAAUACAAGAGUUCGUAUUCCACUGUAGAAGAAAAAUCAUUUAAAUCGCUCGAAUACUAUAAAAAUAAGUGCACAAAAAGUUGUUUUGUUUUCCAUAAAUAGUAACAUAUUCCGAAAGUACGUCUCCCAGAUUCCAAAAAUAUAAAUUUCAUAAAAAUAUGACUUCGUAUGGAGGAUAUAUGAUUUUUUAAGUUACUAAUUCAAUCAUCUCACUCGUUGUAUAAUGAUAACUAAGAUGCAAUACAAAGUUUAAUCCAACCCUAUGACUAGAGAAACGUCGUAAUUAGCAAAAAGGAGAUUGGUUGAGUUUUAGCCCAAACACCAAAAAGGGAAUCGUAGUAUUCCUCGAUAUAAGACAAUGGACAUAUGGAACACCACAAACGGAGUCCGUAUGAGAAAGUUAUGUUUUUUUAUAAAAUCAUUUAGGAUACACUCAUCAUAAACAUAUGGGUUAAACAUAAAGUCAAAAUUAGCCUGUGCAACCUAAAAGAAAGUUGUAGUACUCGUCGAUAGCUAUGUCUGGAUAUAAAGAACGUCAAAAACGGAGUUCGUAUGUAAGAGAUACGAAUUUUACAAAAUCUGCAUUUUCCGCACACAUCACGCACGGGAAAGUGCGGCGCACAUAAUGUUCUAGAAGGUAUAAAUGCAGACCACCAGAUAACGAACACGUGACAGUGCUUUUUCUAGAGCCAUCACCCAAAUCAGUAGCCUCUAAAUUGUUUACGAACUUAUCCAUUUUUCAACACAAAACCUCUUUCACUUCCUCUUGAGUUUGUGCGAUUUUUACCUCUUUUGAGCCAAGCAAGUCUCGGGUAUAUAGGCGGGAGCUAUCGGGGGUAUAAAUAACACUUUAGGGGUGAGUUUACAGCCUCUUUUUUCAAAGGUUUUUCUCAAUUUUAGGGAUUUNUGUUAAUUAAUUAUUAAUUUAUCGUUAUAAAUAUUGUUAUUUUUACAAAAGUAUAUUUACAUCUUAUCAUUACUCUGUCCAAUUUUUGUUAAAAAUAUCUAUAUAUUAUGUAGUUAUUUUGUCCGUUUCAAAUGGAAAAUAUCUAUAUAUAUUAAGUCGUUAUUCUGUCCAUUUCAAAUGGAAACUACCUAUAUAUAAAGUCGUUAUUAUGCUCAUUUCAAUUGGAUAAUNNNNNNNNNNNNNNNNNNNNNNNNNNNNNNNNNNNNNNNNNNNNNNNNNNNNNNNNNNNNNNNNNNNNNNNNUAUAUAUAUAUAUAUAAUAUGUUGUUAUUCUAUUUGUUUCAAUUGAAUAAUAUUUAUAUACUAUGUCGUUGUUCUGUCUGUUUUAAUUAGAUAAUACUCAUAUAUUAUGUUGUUAUUCUGUCUGUUUUAACUUUUAAUUGGAUAAUAUUUAUAUAUAAUGUAGUUAUUAUCUCAUUUCAAUUGGAUAAUAUCUAUAUAUUAUGUCGUUAUUUUGUCCGUUUCAAUUGAAUAAUAUUUAUAUAUUAUGAUGUUAUUUUGUCCGUUUGAAUUUGAUAAUAUUCAUAUAUUAUGUCGUUAUUAUGUCCGUUUUAAUUGGAUAAUAUCUAUAUAUUAUGUUAUUNNNNNNNNNNNNNNNNNNNNNNNNNNNNNNNNNNNNNNNNNNNNNNNNNNNNNNNNNNNNNNNNNNNNNNNNNNNNNNNNNNNAUUAUGUCUUUAUUCUACCCGUUUCAAUUGGAUACUAUCUAUAUAUUAUGUCGUUAUUCAUGUGCAUUUCAAAGGAUUGUUAUCAUAUAAUACAUCGUCACUCUCCUUAUUUGGUUUUGCUAAGAUAAUUGGUUUAACUAUAAUUAUAAUUACACAAUACAAUAUGGAAAUUCUUUUGUACCUUAAAGCAAAACAAAACAAAUGUUAAAGAAGUGUGAAUGCUUUAAGCACCUGUAAAUAGUAUAAUACUACUUAUAAAUUUAAGGUACCUAAACGUCGAAAGUAAUAAUACUUAUAUCGCUAAACAUACUUACAUAUAAAAAAUAUUUUCAAGUUAUAAUAUUUCAAAUCUGUGAGUUCACCAACAUUACUUUGAUAUUUUCAAAACCACGUGUAUUCCUAGGGAACCAAGAGAUGGAAGUUCGCAUUCCCUGAAUUCAAGUCUAGGGAAACAAGAGAUGGAAGUUCGCAUUCCCUGAAUUCAAGUCAUGGAUCAGUGAUGUCACAUUAGCUAGUAGUCUGAUAUUUGAAGUAAUCGAUUAUUGUAACAUCGAAUAUUGAUGUAAUCUAUUUUUCAGUAAUAAGAUAUUAGUAUUUAAAUUAUAUGGUUUUUGUAUUGUUCAAUGUAUGUUCAAUAUCAGUGAUCCAACAUCGAACAUCGCACAACCCGACGAUUCUGUCGCCAGCUGGGGGUGUGAUACUAUGUAAUCACAAUCAAUUGUGGUGGGAAUGGAAGUUUGUUAUGUCAAAGAAAGUUAACAUUGACAGAGGCAAUAAAGUAGUUGUCUUGCAAGGAAUGGGUCAUGCGACAUGAAAAAAAGAAGGAAACUUAGUGAAUCAUAUCACGUUUUUUUACAUCAUUAAUUUUCCAUCUACUAUGUAAUUCAAUGGCUUGACAAAGUUGUUUAGUAAGUUCGGAAUUAAUUUCGAUGUCUACAUAGCUAGAGAGUUAUCAUGUAUAAGGAAAUAUUUUCCUUUUGUGAAAUUAUUGAAAGUUCAUGACAAGUUUGUGAUAGCUAAAAGCCUAAAAGUGUCAGUGAAGUAUGGUUGGGGAACUAUUACUUAUUUGCAUUAGUAGCAUGAUUUGAGAGGAAUGAGACUAGAAAAAAUAAUCAUACAAUAUGAUAGAAACGUAAAGAUUGAUAAAGUAAAUCGUGGACAUGUAACUUAUGUGAAGGUGGUUGUUGGGAUCGGUAAAUAUGUAAGAUUGAAAAAAGAUAUGAGAUUACUAAGAAUAAUAUUUGUAAUUGAAAAAAAAAUAACUAUCCAAAAUUGAUACUCGACAUGUAUUAUGGGUGAGAUUCAUGAUGCCCUUUUCAUUGAAAACAUAUACUCUAAUUAAAAGUAAGAAGAUUUUUAUCAUCUUAAAUUCAUUAUGUGGGUGGUUUGUGGGUUUGGAUUGAAUUCACAAUAAGAAACAUGUGUGUAAAGUUUAAACAACUAGAGCCAUUCAAAAGGAUUUUUACUUAAUUUCAUUAAAAGCCAAUAGGUCUAGCAGCUCAAAUAUUUAUAUCAUUGAACUCCAUAUCACUUUUACUUCUAACUUGUAGGUGUUGGAGACAUGAUGUACUCAUAUUUAUACUUAUAUGUAUGGAAUAAAAGCUUGAGACAUGGAGAGGUGGACCUGAUCAUGGGCAACAAGAAAUCAAUAGUUGUCCAUGUGAUUGUGAAUUGUAAAUUACAACUUUCUAGUGGGUUAAUAAUGGUUUUAUCUAACUUUUGCUAUUGUCCUGAUAUGGAACAAAGUAUUAUUUCCUUUUAUGUGUUAUAUAAAGAUAGUUAGGCUUUUGAUUUUGAUGAUGGUUCAAUUUUGGUUUACAAAAUGAUAUCAUCUAUUUUAAAGCAAAUCCUUUUCAUGACAUCUAGUAGACUGUUAUAAGCAUAAAGAUAAACAAUAAUUCAAUCUUUAACAUUGAUUCAUUCAAAGAUGUGUUGGACAAAACAUAUAUGUAGCAUUAUCGUCUUGGCUUAUAAACAAGAAAGACUACACCAAACUCCAAGCAGGUGAUAUUUUGGAAUCGUCUGACUAGAAAUCUUAUGAUGAAUGUGAAUCUUGUCUAUUUAGAAAUAUUUCAAAGGCGUUAUUCACAUAAAACUAUGAAAGAGGCAAAGAUUUGGUGAAAACUAUACACAUUGAUGUAUGUCGACCAUUCAAAUAAGCCACCAGACAUGGUCGAAUGUGUUGGGUUAUGAGCAUAACAUCAUUCCUAUGGUGUUCAUGCAACCCUAAUUGCUUUGAUCUAGGUUUUUCUAAUUAAACAUACAAAAUUGAAUACCAAAGCAAUAAACCCUAGAUCUAGCAUGUGAUAAUUGAUAUUAACAUAAGAAUAGGAUUUAGAUCUUACAUUGAUUGUUAUGUAGCAAUAACAAUCUCAAUUCCUCUUGAUCUUGACUUCUGAAAGCUUAGUGCCUCAAAUGUUGCACCUCUAAUGGAAUCACAAACACCAUGAGCAACAAGAUGAACAAGGAGAGAGGGAGGAGGCACCAAAACGUCCAAGAAACUCCAAGGAAUGCUUAGCCUUGUUUUGGGUGCCCUAGGGGUCCAUUUAUACUUGUGUGGGCUGCUAGGGUUUUCAGGGACAACCCUGAUUCUCUGCUUAGGCCUUAAGCAACUCAUGGAUUCCCUUUAGAAAGCCCUUGGAUGAAAUCCAUAUGGGCUUCCCAUCGAUUUCGUCCAAUCCUCUUUCCAAUAGGAAUCAAUAGCCUACAAUGCAAUUAUCUUAUAAUUACAAUAUUAGUCCCCCAAGUUUAAUUAAUCUCUUUUAGCCACAAAAUUAAUUCUUGACUAAUAUUAAUUAAACAAUAUGAUUUCUCUUUUAAUAUAUUAUUCACAUAAUAUAUUAAUAAAUCAUAAUUAAACCUCUUUAUCCUUAAUUCAUCUUAUCAGUUGCUAUGGUGAAGGCAACCCAAAAGGACCAUGCUCACAAUCGGGUCAAGUACAUACCAAAAUAGUUAUGGGCUUAGACACCUAAUCCAACAGUCUCCCACUUGGAUAAGUCUAAUAACUAUUUGCAUAUUACUACAGAACCUGAUCAGCAAUCGUAGCUUUCAAAAGUCGUUGUUGAACUUUGAUCAUAUCAGAAACGUCUCAUUUAGAUAAGGGAUCAUAUAUUCCUCCAUUCUAGAUAUCGUAUGAACUGAUACAUGGAUUUUAAUCAUACUCUCUGUUCAUGUGUUGUUUCCCGAUCUCUGAUUUAUGACGACUGACAACAGACUACAAUUGAACACAUCAACUUAGUCCCGGCUUGGCCAAGCGCUUAGGGUGUCAUCACUAAAUCAUCGAGGGGCCCACAUAUAUCGUUUUUAUCCCACUUUCGGUAAAAGGAAUGGAUAAACUUUGACUCAAUGCUCGCUUAUACCCACUCAUCAAAUCACACACAAUAAUAUGUUUAUAACACCAAGUUACUGGUGCGUUUACAUAUUAUCAAUGUGUAACCGACUUACAUAAUACAACUCACACAUCUCGGUUUCAAGAAUAUAAUAUAUUAUCGUCUCACUAAUCACCCGUGAUAAAAUCCAUGAAGUGAUUCAAAUGAGCGUGGGUUUAAUCCAAUGGUCAAAUCAUAUUCAUAAGAACUCAUGAACGUUGCAGCAAACCUUUGCUAUAUCUAAUACACUUUAGACAAUCUACAAGCCAAUUCAUGACAAUCUUCUUUCAUACUUACUCCCAAAGUACGAGCGACUGUGGAUGGGUUGAAUAAUCUUNUCUUAUUAUUCGGGAAGUCAAAACAUGCAAAGUGAAACACAAGAAUAAUACUAAUACUAUAUAGCCUCAGACCAUUGAGUAUAAAUAAAACACUUUUAUUUAAUCACCAUAUUAAUUACUCAUUAUUUGUUGUUUCGGGUAAUCAACUUCUUACUUGAAUUAUAACAACAGUUGUCCCAUGCACUAAGCAGCACACUAUGUUUACCUAUUGUUCUUGCUUUGUGAAAUAGAUCAAUUGAAAACAUUUCCAAUGAUGCUCAUUUCACAAUUCCUAAUCAUUAGUGUAAGAAUACAAAAUUUUUGCCACUGCUAGAAUAUGUUAGAUUCUAACAUUUUAUGCAACGAUCAUUUCGUAAUGUCACGGCACAAAAGUCACCAAGACUCGGCCAAUGAAAUUACAAAAUGCUCUAUUGGAGAUUGUUACAAGAUAAUUCCAUAGAUGUGAAGUCUCACAUUCAAAGUACAUUCCUUUGAACAUCCUUCUUGCAUAAAAGUUUCUAAUCUAGACAUAAAUUUUUUUAACGUCUAACUCCCAAUAUGGAAACAUUUCCAUACUUUCCAUAUGACAACUCAUUCUAAAUAGAGUCUUAUCUAUUCAUAAUAAAGUCAAUAUGGUCCAUCCAUUAGUAUACUUCCAACUGUCCACAAGCGAUCAAUCUUUGGUGAACCUUAGAUUGUCCUUGACAAUUGUUUAAUUAUUUACAACAUAUGCAAUCGAUCCUAUACCAGAAGCGUAUAGGACAUAAUUCAUAAUGUAUUACAUGAAAGCAUGAUACUUUAUCAUCCAUUUGCCAUAAUAUCUCUAUUUUCCACAAUCUCAAAAUUCGAACCAUGAAGAGGGAUGUCGUAAUCAUAAUCGAAGUUUGAUCACGCAAUUAAUAUAUCCUUGACUAUAUUUGAUUAAAAUUUCUCGAUCUAAGCUUUUAUAUUGCGAAAUAAAGUAUAACAUUCUCUCCCUUAAUUAUAGCAAAACAACUUUUUAACCCAUGCAACUUUGCAAAGUGAAACCUUUUGUUUUCUAUAAUUAAUAAUUCUAACUUGCAACACUUAAAAUAAUAAUCAUGCUCCCACUAACAUGAUGAUUAUAUCCAUUCCAGCAUAACAUUUAUGCUCUCACUAGCUUUGACACAUAUUUAGAAAUCAGCUAAACUUCUGAGAAAACAAUACUUAUUGACUUCCAAAGUUCAUUUUCCUAAUACGAUAUGCUUUGAUAAGCCUUUAUCUGAGCAUCUCAAACUCAUACACCUUUCAUUAGAUAACUCACAUGUGUGUCUAAACUAAUUUAGAACUUAUAUUACUAAGUCCCAAAAUGUUCAGACUAAUCGCCAAAUAUCACAAUUUGAACUAUGAAGAGGGAUGUCAUAAUCAUAAUUGAAUUUGAGAAUGCAAUCUACAUAAUUGCAAUCUUCUUAAAAUCUCUCUUAGUGAAAGCGUUUCCUCACAAUCAUUUUCAUGAAGGAAAGAAACUUUAUGACACUUAGAUUUUAUAGUGUACGUGUUCUUAUCCAUGUGAAUUUUCCAUAACCAUAAUCGUAAGAUAAUGUUUGUGACAAAUCCAAACUCCUAUGGACAGAACUUGUUCAUUCUUGAUUUCAUGCCAUCAAGGGUCCCACCAUUGCUUCCAAGUUAUUUAGCAGCUCGCCUAUGCCAGUCAAUGUACUUUCAUUGAACAAGGUGCUUGCCUUAUGCAGUCUAUUGAGAACUCGUAGAACUCAUAUGCAUAAUCAACUCAACUGCAUUGGCACAGCAACAAGAAUACGUCAACACGAUAGGUUACAAACCUCAAGUCGUGUGCUAGUGUUUAAUAAUAGGUUUACUCUUAAUUAGUUCUUGAAACUUUUCAAGAUCAUUUAGACUCCCACUGACCUCUUGACAUAUAAGAUUCUCUUGUCAAGAAAAAUGUUCAAGAGUUAGUGUGGAUUCUUAUCAAGACAAACACUACACACAAUUGGUAUUAGUUGGUCUUUGUCUUAUCCAAUACAUCACAAUUUACCAAUUUCAAACGUGCAAGAGUAAGAAAAAAAAUAAUUUUCUACUUCACAUUUGAUGAGUGUGUUAGAACUUCUUAAGAUGUGUCGCUCAAUUCACAAUCUUGGAGUAUGACUCUAAGACUUGAUUUUGGAACGAAGUAUGAAUCAUCCUUUUUAUUUAACCAUUUCAACAAUUUCCGAUUCCUCUUCUUAGCCAUACUAGUGCACUAAGAUGUCCAUAGAGGAUUUAUUGUGAUAUGGUUUCAUAAUCAACAAGAUGAUCGUAAAACACGAUACAAAAGUACUAUCCCUUCUUUUUAGAUUGGAGAAACUUUUAUCUUUCUGCCUAAUUGAUUCUUCUUAUUCGUUCUGCCAUUCAUUGAAACUUUUCAAUGAUUCAAAAUUAUACUUAAUCUUGUAAGCAUAACCACAUUUACUAGACUUUUAGUAAAUUAUGACGAAUAGUCUUAUUGUUAUUUGUGGUGGACUUGACUAGUGCACAACAUUGUGUUCUAGUCCUUUAGUCCUUCACUUGACUCACAUACUUGUGUGAUCAAGGAAUUAGUCUUAAUUUCCUAAGUACCAAGAUUUCCAUACAUCACAUGAUUCAAAUCAUAUGAUUCCAAGCUUCUGUCCAAUUGAAACAUGGGCGAUGGGAAUCUUUCCUUACUUAGAAAAAUUAUGACACUCCCAUAAAUAACAUAACUAAGAAUCACAUCCACUUAAUAUUGCUUCCAAUAGAAACACACAAGCAUCAAUUUUCAUAAAUAACAUUGUAAGGAGAUAUAAAUAAGACAAAACUCAAAUUUAUUUUAUUUAUAAAACGGUGCGGAAAAUUUUGUCCUUACAAUGCAAAUUCAAAUGAAAAAUAUGCUAUUUUCAUAUUCCUAAGCAAUCUAUCAUAACUCUAAAAGUAGCAGCUUAAAAUCCAAUCAUCGAAUCAUGCGAUCAAAAUCUAUUUCUUCACAAUCAGACUCGGCUCACUUCUUCCUUUAAGCUUCCUCUCUUUUCUUCGAUCCUACAACAAAAUGCAAUCUUAUCACAUCAUGUAUUUAGAAUCUCCAAAUAGGAACUUAAUGGAGUUAGAUAGUGGAUUUUACCUGAACAAAAGUCAAACAUCUUGACUAUCCCAUCUCUUAGAUCUCUCAGGUAGUUUGGACAGCUUCGUAACCAAUGCCCCUUCUUUUGGCAGUAGAAACAUACAGAUUCUUCUGGAAUGGUACACGAGACUAUCUCAGACUCAGCCUUUCUCUUGCGUGGGGAAAACUUUUCUAGACUUCUAAUGUUGCCAUUCCUCAUAGAAGGAUGGGACAUUGAUUUACCAGACAAAUUUGCUUGACCAGUGCGCCAAAUCAUUGUUGAUUCAGUAGCAAUAAGCAAAUAAGUCAAAGCAAUGAAAGUCACGUCAUGUUCCAUCAUAUAGUACUCUCUAACGAACUUACCAUAUGAAUCGGGAAGUGAGUGAAGAACCAAGUCAACACCCAAAUUCUCCGAGACAUCGACGCCCAACAUUCCUAAUCUAUCAAUAUGCAACUUCAUAUCCAAGACAUGAGCACAUACCGACUUUACAUCUUCGUGUCCUUUUGCCAAUAGGGUUCGAGUGACCUUGAACUUUUCAAGUCUGCUUCGAACAUGUGGGUCAGGGAGAAUUAUUGGAGGAGGUAGAGGAAGCGAAGAGUGAUUUCUAUUUUCACAAUCCAAUCAUGAAACAUCAUCUUCAAGCGGAAACUUUUUCCAACAGAUUCAAGAAGACCAUAGUUGUCAAACCUUGACAUCUACAAAACGGGAGAAAUUCAAGUUUUAGUUGAUUGGAAUCCUUGAUAUAACACCCAAAUGAAAUAUCAAGGCUAGGAUCCAACAUAAUAUCCUACAAUAUAGAAUAGGGAUGUCGUAAUCUAAAUUGCAGAACACUUGAAGGUAGGUAAAUGACGAUUUACCAAUUUCCACCAUGAAAAACGAAAAUUAAAAAUUAAGUUUUAAAUGAAUUGAAACUCCUAGAUCUUUUGAGAUUCAUUGAACUUUUCAAUGGCAUGUUUAAACCUCAAGUGUCCCCUUCGUUUGUGACUGGGAUGCCGAGGAUCACAAACAAGUUGUAGAUAACCAUGCAAAUAUACAUGGUGCCCCCAAUGUUACAGUCACCUAAUUGACGUGCUGGUUAACCACACACGCUCCAUCGAUCUAUGACAAACAUUGAGUCACCCUUUGCUAUCUUUGCUUAGAGCCCAAUUAGUGUGUCGGUUAACCACACACGCUCCACUAACGUCUUAGCAAGGGUACAAAGUGUAAUUUCAUGGAAUAGCACUAACUCCACAUUUUUCCUAAAGUAACUAAGAUUUAGGAAUUUAUAAAACAUUUAGUUACUUCGUAUUUCAUUAUACUUUAUAAUGGAAGGUGUGUCCUUUCCUACCCGUUCGGCUAACGACCUUCCACUAGUCAAGAGUGCGGUGGGUAAUAGUGGAUACCCAAUGACGGUCAUUUUACAGGCCGCUUUCUUAAACACUCCUUAUAGACCAACUUCGUGAAUGAUGCCUACUAACGGUAAGACUGACAUUUACUCAUAUAUAUAAUAUUAAACUUUUAAAUCUAUAUAGUAUAAGGGUGUAUUUUAUACUUUUAAAAUACUAGGUGGUUUAAUUUAAUAAAGUUAACUUUUAAUUUGAUUAACCUUAAACCAUAUAAUCAUGGAUUUAUUAAUUAUCCUCUUUAAUUAAACUCUUAAUUAAAUCAAUAAAACCAUGAGGGUGUAAUUUGAACUUUUCAAAAUACUAGGGUUCUAGAAUUUAAUAUUUCAAAAUUAAUAACUUUUAAUUAAAUUUUAAAUUCCAAAACUUGAGGACAAAUUUUGAAACCUUUCAAAAUAUUAGGGUUUAACUAUUUAAAUUUCAAAAACUAAAACUUUUAAGUUCAAAUUUAAACUAUAAAACCUAAAUGGUGUAAAUUGAAACUUUACAAUCUUAUAGGUCAAAUAUUUGACUAAUAAUAAUCCUAUAUUAUCCAUAUUUAACCAAAUCCAUUAAUUUUGAUAAGGAUAAUCAUUCCAAACACUGAAAAUCGAUUUUAGGCAAUAAAAAGCAAGUUUUUGUAAUUAUCCUUAACAAAAUCUGCUCAAAAAAUUGAAAAUCCCGUCAAUAGCACCCUGGACUCAUCGAGUCCACUGAUGGACUUGCCGAGUUCAGCCUACUUGCCGAGUCCACUGAUGGACUCGCCGAGUCAGCGGUGCAGACAGCAAAAAAUUCAACUUUUUGAUCAUUUGGCAGUUCACUUUUGCAUCUAUUCAACUAGAAAAACGACCUAGUCUCUGAUACCACUGUUGGGUUAUGAGCAUAACAUCAUUCAUAUGGUGUUCAUGCAACCCUAAUUGCUUUGAUCUAGGUUUUUCUAAUUAAACAUACAACAUUGAAUACCAAAGUAAUAAACACUAGAUCUAGCAUGUGAUAAUCGAUAUUAACAUAAGAAUAGGAUUUAGAUCUUACCUUGAUUGUUAUGUAACAAUAACAAUCUCAAUUCCUCUUGAUCUUGACUUCUGAAAGCUUAGUGCCUCAAAUGUUGCACUUCUAAUGGAGUCACAAACACCAUGAGCAACAAGAUGAACAAGGAGAGAGGAAGGAGGCACCAAAACGUCCAAGAAACUCCAAGGAAUGCUUAGCCUCGUUUUAGGUGGCCUAGAGGUCCAUUUAUACUUGUGUGGGCUGCUAGGGUUUUCAGGGAAAACCCUAAUUCUCUGCUUAGGCCUUAAGCAACUCAUGGAGUCCCUUUAGAAAGCCCUUAGACGAAAUCCAUAUGGGCUUCCCAUAGAUUUCGUCCAAUCCUAUUUCCAAUAGGAAUCCAUAGUCCACAAUGCAAUUAUCUUAUAAUUACAGUAUUAAUCCCCCAAGUUUAAUUAAUCUCUUUUAGCUACAAAAUUAAUUCUUAAUUAAUUCUUGACUAAUAUUAAUUAAAUAAUAUGAUUUCUCUUUUAAUAUAUUAUUCACAUAAUAUAUUAAUAAAUCAUAAUUAAAUCUCUUUAUCCUUAAUUCAUCCUAUCAGUUGCUAUGGUGAAGGCAACUCAAAAGGACCAUGCUCACAAUCGGGUCAAGUACAUACCAAAAUAGUUAUGGGCUUAGACACCUAAUCCAACAGAAUGUACUUUGCAACCUUCACUAAUGACUUUCAUAGGUAUGGAUAUGUCACUACUAGAAAAACAGUCUUUUACGACGCGUAAUUAAUGACACACAUUGAUAGAGGACGCGCAUUUGUGCGUGCCCUAAAAGAUAAUGUCAGUUUUGCAAAAUAUGGACAGAGGACACGCAUUUGUGUGUGCCCUAAACUUAGUGUCAGAAAAGAAAAAAAGUGGAAAUGCGGAGGGCGCCUUUCAUAAAAUGUGUGUCAUCUAAGUGUGUCGCUUUAUGAUUUUUUAAUGAAACACACGUUUUAAGCAGGAUUUCACCCGCCUAUUGGAUCCCAAAAAUUAGAACCCUCGCCUCUUCCAAUUAGAAAGAAAAAACCCUAGCCCUCGUGUUCAUAGCAGAAUUCCUCUUGCUUUUGUGAUCAGAUGCCUCGCGACGACAAUUAGAUAGUGUGAGAUCUAUGAGAGAUCCAAUCCAAAGCAUGCCUGUGAUUGUGUGGCCAUCCUCGGUCAACUCAUACACUUUGAAACCCUAAUAUUAUAUCAUGUCCGAUCAGUGACCAGCGAACAUCAUUUACAAGCUGAAACCCUAUUCACAUAUGGAAACCGAAUCAUCCAGAUACCCUCAUCCUCAAGCUCUUUUAACUCCUUCAUUCUUCUUCCAGUGGAGUUAUUUGCCAAACUAGCAACUCCCGCCGCUACACCACCACCAACCCCAGAAUCUUCGUUGCCAUCAAUAUCUGUUCCAUCCCCGAGUUUGAUCUCUACAUCAAUUGCUUUAUCACAUGCACCUGUCGUUGGAAUCCCACCUGUGGUACUUACCACGGUGAUUCCACCUCUGGCUCCCACGAUUCCCCCAACUUCAUCAUCGACUGGUGGUGCUCCACCGGCGGAAGUUUAAUCACACUAACUUUCUUCAUGUAUAUCAUUUGAAUUUCUAUUAUCAUUUCUUUGUUUCAUACAAUGGUUAAUCUAUUCAAAGUUUUGUUAUACGUGUUUCUCUUUCUAUUGUGCAUUUCGUAUACGUGUUUCUCUCAUUUUUUGUUGGUAAAUUUGUUUUUCAGUCUGCAAUUCCAAUUUCAAUAUCUAGGGUUAACCAGGUGGAUGCAGGGAGGCUCGACAUUGAAAUGUCAGCCAUUCUCAAAGAGAAAAUGGUUAAAGUUUUCUCUGCUAUGAAGGUACGUCACACGAUUCAUUGAUUAUCCAUGAUUAGUUGAUUACUAUAUCCUAAUUAAGCACAAUUUGAUGCCUUUUUACACUAAUUAGUCGUGUUCAUUGGAGAUUAAUUAUGUUCCUCUUCUUUCCUUUUUGUGAUUAGCCAGGAUUAUUAUUUCAAUACGAAGCAGAACUUGAAGUUUUGUGAUUCGAUCCGUAGUCAAUGUUGUUGACCAUCUUGGCACUGUUGCUUACAAACUCACUGACCUUCUUGACCAACAGAGUUCAAAUUUUUCAUCAACAGAGUUACAUCUUACAUGUUUACAUCAAGUACGAUAUAUUAAUCUUUUUUUUCUUUAUUGACUUACAAACAAACUACCAUUCUUGCAAUAAUGCUAAAUAAAGAAAAGAGAAAACCCACACCUGAAUUUUAAUCAAAUUUUCUUUUUCUUUGGUAUUUUUGUAAGGACAAUGAUUUAGAAAGUAAAUCACUCCAACAUAAUUUUAAAAUUUCUUUUUAUUUUUUUAUGUAAAGCAACUUCUUACAUGCCAAACAUAUACGAAUAAAGAAGCCAUCAGACAGCAAGAAUUAUUAGUAGUUUUACCAAGCAUCACAAACCUUACAUUUUACCUAGUAAGAAUCUUUAUAUUUGUACAACACUUUGACAUACAUAGAUAGUGUUUGAUACACUCAAUGUGUAACGUUUUCUUUGAAUGUAGAUUCUGUCAGCAAAAAGGUCCAUUUUAGCCCUCAGAUUCAAACUGAUUCAAAUGCAAGACAAAGUAAUCUUCAACCACGAACUCGCCAAUUUACUUCAGGUACCAAAGCAAAUACUCUCUUCUUUUCAUGGAAAAUGCAACAUUUAUCCCUUUUGAGGAUGAUUGUGAUGUGAAUGGGGCAAAAUUGUCAUUUUUGUCCCACCUGAUCUAUUAGAUAAACAGGUUGACCGAAAAAAAAAACUAAAGUUUACAUCAAAUAAAAAAAGUUCAGACUUAGUUAAAUAAGUAGAUUAAAAAGAAACACAACUACAACUUAAUUCUCCAAAUAACAUUCACAUUUCCUAACUUGUAACUGUGUGAUAUUGACAUACUUUCGACCUCUUGUGUGUGCAAAAGAUGUGAAUGCCCUCCUCUUCAAUCUUCAUUCUUUGUUAUCAUGAAAAGUGAUUGAUAUCUUGAAUCAUUGUACUUGGCUUCUCUUUGGAAACAAAUUCCCGUUUUUCUGAACUGCAAAAGAGCAUAUAUUUAUUUAUGAACGAGCAACGUUUCUAACAAAAAUUGGGAAAUAAGAUUAAGAUGGUUCUCUUUUGUGUUUAUAUUUCCAUUGUAUAUCUAGAACUAGUCAUUCUUGGUAUGUAGUGUAUUUUGGCAAUCUCACAAGAACAAUGAUCAGUUGGAUUAAAAAUCCUAUUACACUAUAUUAACGGAAAUUACUCUGUCGGUUUUCUUGUUCCCUGUUGUUGAUGAUAUGUUCCUUUAUUCCAUUUGAAUCCUAUCACAGAAGAAGCCACAAAGGGCAAUUAGAGGCAAGCAUGUGAGUGUAAUUCGGGGAUCAUACAGGGAUUGGACCGGUUGACUGUUGUGCCCAGUUAUUUGGGAUUUUUGCCGACUUAUGAAUCCUAAACAUGAUAUUUGAAACCCGAUUGAAAUUUUUUGUCUUAGGUUUUCUUACAAAUAUUGCGAUUUUAGGUUGAAUUUUUUUAUUGUAAGUGUUACUUCGAUAUUAUGGCAGGUCCUUAUGAUGUACUUGCUGUUGGAUUACUUGAGGUCUUCGACCCUUCGCUUUUUGAUACAUUUUUCCAACACCAGGUAUGUAAUCUAAAUUUAGUUAAAUUACGCUUAUACCCUUUUCGAAAUUAACCUGGUUUAUAUAUGUAUUUAAUUUUCUGUAUAGCAAUGGAUGGAUGAGAAUCGAGACAGAUGAACCCACUGAUUCAUAUCUAAAGCACAAAACUUUUCAGUCUUAUAACCCAAACACUAAACUUUUUUGGAACAGAAUUGAAAAAAAUCAUCUAUAGUCAGGGACCAAAAAUGUAAUUUACUCGAAAUCAAAUUUGCAGGUUUGUUAUAUCAAUUUGCCCUUGUUCUAAAGAUUUCCCCUUUUUUGGUGAAUUUUAUGUUUAACUGAAUCCAAUAAAUCAAACCAUAUCACUUAUAAUCCGAUGGAAGAGAUCUUAUACUCUAAGGCUCAAUCAAUCUCAUUCAAAGAUUCUUGGAAUUAAUGUCAAACAAUAUCAAGGAACUUCAGCUUGUAGGCGUAGAAGCCAUGCUUCUAUGCUAAGCAUCCAAUUCAGCCAUGUAUGUUAAAUAAGGGAAAGAUGGGAAACUUAGAAAAAUAAAGAGCAUCUUAUUAGUGGGGGGUAUUUUCGGUAUAUAUGUUAUUUACUUUGUUACAAAAUAGUGCUAAAUUAUAAGAGGGUAAUGAGAAUGACGGUAUGAUUAUCUUCUAUCAAAUGUUGUCUUAGAACCUUUGGGAGAGAAUAGGCUCUCGAAUCUCGGGAAAAAUGAUUAGGAAACUCUCUUGUAAUCGAGUAUCAUUUAUACAUUCACUGAAGCUUUUAUUCCUGUGCUUGUUUGCGAUUUUAUAUUAAAGUCGGUUCUUAGUAUUCUAGCUUGCAAAUACGAAGAAAUCUUUUUAUGCCCACUGUUGAGGACUUUAUUGUAAUUUCAGACAAUGAUGUGUAUACAAGAAAUGAAGUUCUCGUUCUGAUUCCAUACGUAUCAAGCAAUUUAUCAAAACUGCUCAAUCUCACAGAGGUUCGCCCUUUCCUUUGAUUUUGUGGAAGAAUUAAUAAUUUUGGACAAACAAUUUGGUAAAUAUGUUUUUUUUUCAAGCAUGUUCAAGUAUCGUAAUCACUCUUCAAUUUAUUAUAUUUUCGGAUAAAAGCAAGAAGUAGCAUCCUACUUUUAUUUCUUUCAACUAAAGCAUUGUACUUUCAUUUAUUAUUCGAUUGAUGCAUUAUAUGUUUAGAGAAAAUCUAUUGCUUAUAUAUGUGGAAGUUGCAUUUUAUUUGUCUAACAUUGCUAUAAUUGGUUGGAUUUUUCAUAUAACACAAAUUAAUAUUUACCAUAUUAAGACAAUUUUCAUUUUUUUGUCUAACAUUGCUAUAACUGGUAGCAAAGCCAAAAGUUAAUUGAGAACAUUAUUUUUGCAGCAGUCAAGGCCAACAAAAGGAAUGAAUAUGAGGUAUCUGUCUCUUCCACCAAUACCUAGGUAACAACUUUGAUCUACAUUAACUCCACUUUCAAUUUUAAAAAGAUUCAGAAAGGUGGUGGGACAAUUGAUCUUGAACCUUGUCUUACACAUAUAUCCACUGUGGAGCCCACUCUUGCUCUUGUGGUUGUGGAACCUCGUGUUCUUUUGUCUCAAGAAGAGCCCUUUAACAUUUAAAUUGAUGUUUUUGCCCUUAUGGAUUUGCAGGUAUUUGAUUCCAAAGCUUGGACCAUGUUCUCUUAAGAUAACAUAUUCUGCACAUACAGAUUUGAGUGUAAAAUUCCAGAGUCAUCGUAGCAGGUAUAAGACAAUAUAUAUAUUUCCGACUUUAUUUCUUUUUAUGACGGUAACCUAAUAAGCUUUAUAUUUAUCCAGGGACUAUACAAAUCCUAUGCUUCCUAUUGCAUCAUCAAUAAUAGAUGCUAUUGGUCAGGUAAAGUCAUUAUUCUUUAUAACAGCUUGAAGGAUUGUUUUGUAAAAUUAAUCAACUUUUUGUUGUAUUUUAUAUUUAUACUUGUAUUAUGCUUACUAGUUUGGCAACAUAUUUGAUCCUAGAUAACACUUAUUUUGUAGUUAUGUUUUUUUUGUAGACAAUAUAAUUACUGUGAGCAAGUUCAUAGAUUUAGAGUCCUUGACUGGUGUUACUAAGAAAGAGUGGAGACAAGUCAGGCACACAUUUAAAAACAUCAGCACAAAUCUUGUUUACAGUGAGGCAAACAUUAGGUUUUUAGAACUAUUAGUUUGUAAAUUUCUGUUACAACUUCUAUUGAUUUAUUUUAUCUUUCCAUGGAACAAUUAUUUGUAUGACAUUAAAUUUUAUGUAAUGGAUUGUAUUUUUUGUAUAUGAUAUUUUAUUUUAUAUUAUGAGACAUUAAAUGCAAAUUUAAUUUGAAAAUUAGUAAAUCUAUAAAUAAUAUUUUUUUAAAACACUUAAAAUUACAAUACGCAAAAAUGUGUGUCAUCUUCAUUUAUAACAUGACCUUUCUUGACAGGGGCUUUAAUGAUACGCAAUGCGAGUCGUAAGGUUACGACACGCAAAUGCGUGUCGUCUUCCUUUAUGACAGAGCCUUCCUUGAUACACAUUGCGUGUUGUAAAUGAGCGUCGUAAAUGCGUGUCAUAACUGCGCGUCGUCUAUAGACGACGCGCAAAAGUGUGUCACUUCCUUGACGCGCAUUUGCGCGUCGUCUGAGCGUUUUACGACACGCAUUGCGCGUCGUAAAAGGCUGUUUUUCUAGUAGUGUGUUUGUAACACCUUGUUUCAAAUUGUUCCCAUGUUGGGGAUGGUGAUUAGGGAUUGGGUAUUAGGAGGCUUCAGAUCCUUGAGGAAUUGAGUUUUGGACCCAGUUGGAGUCAGAUAAUGUAAUUCAGAUGUUUCAGGUAUUCAGUUUGUGUUUUGGAAUCAAAAGGCAUUUCGGUAAUUUGUUAGCUCGGUCUUUUAUGGAAAGUGGAGGUUCUUUCGGGAUAUCUUAUGGGUGAGUAUGAGUUGAUAAUAGUGUAUAGUGUCUCGAUACCUUUUCGUGGAUAUACGGAUGGUUAAAAUUGGAGUCGUAUCGAGAAAGUUAUGGUCUUCGGAUGAGUUAGGGUUUGGGGAAAACCCUAGUACGCGGGGUGUACCAGGGUGGUACGCAGGGCGUACCUAGGCCAGGGAGGUUACGCGAGGCUUAGCUGGAAGGACGCGUAGCGUAAGUGCGAAGUGGGUCGGGAUGUGCGACCUUAUACGUUGGGAGUACGAGGAGGUAUGUUAGGCUUACGAGGGUGAGGUUGAAAACCCUAAUUUUAGGGUUGAACCCUAUAUAAGCAUAAUGUUAGCCCGUUUCCUUCAUUUCUAGGUCAACCUCCACCCUCUCAAAACCCUGAAUCGAUCUUGUAUCCUCUUAAUGGUGUUAUUGAGCUCUUAGAAGUUUUUUGGUGCACAAUUUUCCCUUUGGAAGGAAAAAAGAGAAACUUGAAGUUGUUUGACCUGGUGGAAAGACCCUGGAUCCAGAAUCAUCACCUUGUAGAGAAGCUUUUUGAGGUAACAAGUAUGUAUCUUGACCUAUGUGUGAUUAGAUCUCUUCAUGACUAUUUUAUUGUGGUUUUGGUCUUCUUUUUGGGUUUAUGGAUGAGUUAGUUUGCUUAUGGGUUUGUUCAUUCAGAUCUAAGUUUAUUUUGGCAUCCUUGGGCAUAAAAGUGCAAGAUUUAUGUGCUUUAUGGUGUGAUGUAUGCAUUAAGUCAACCAUUAAGUUCCUUUUUAGCUUAAGAGCUUCAUUUAGCCAUGUAUGAGCAUAAAGUUGGCAACUUUAUGUGUUAGCCCAACUCAAGAAGAUCAGAUCAGUGUUGUGGAGCUUUGUCUUAAUGUAUUAAGUGGGAAAAUCAAGUUGGGGCUGAUUAAGUGAGUACGUUGGGCGUACAAACCUCCAAUCGAGCUCACUGCGCAUACAUGCUUGUACGCCCUGCGUACUCGGUCUGAGUGGGUUUGUGUAUUUAGGCUUCGAUUUGGGCUACCUUUUUGGGCCUGGUUGCUUGGGGCUUUGUUGGGCCAUAUGAGAAGGUCUGUUUUGGAAUAAAGAUAAGUAGUGGGCUUUAGGGUAAGGCCCAAGUAAGGGUUUGGGCCCAAUUUGGAAAAUUGGGCCAUAAAUGGGGUUUGGUUAAUUAUCUGGUUAAUGGGCCUUUAUGUUAAGAAGUUUGGGGCCUUAGUCUUGGACUAAACUAAGUGAGGGGUAAAAUGGUCUUUUUACCCCAUGAAUAGAUUAUUGGAUUAGGUGUGGACACCAAUUGUUAAUAGGGUGUUAUUUGUUUGAUAGCAUGGGAAUUUUAGCGGAUCUGCAAUCAGAAAGUAUAUGUGGGAUUCAGCUGUCUGAGGUAAGUCUUCUCACUAUAUCCAUGGGUCGAAGGCACUGAUAUCGGACCAUUACAUGUUAUGUGGUAUGCUAGUUGUCUCUGUGAUAUUUUCAUGGAAGACCCUAGGGGGAGCCUGUGGCAAUUGGAUAUCAGACCAUGGGAGAGCCCAUGACAUUCCAGGUAAAUACCAUAGGGGGAGCCCAUGGCAUACCAAAUAAAGACCAUGGGGGGAGCCCAUGGCAACUAUAUGUAUGUUGCAUGAUAAUAUGUGGUUGUAUGUUGUAUGGUAUUUUGGGAAAUCACUAAACUUUGUUGUAACGACCCAAUUUGCAAGACCAAAAAUUUCUUUUUCAUUAACUAACUCAUAAAAACAUUCGUAAGAAAAUACUGUGAAAUCACAACAUCUCAUAAAACAAUGAAUCAUGUUUGUAAACCCAAGUCAUAAAAUAAGAACAUGUCAGAGUAUAAUCCCAGAAUAUCCAUAGUGCGGAAACAACGAGUAUGUGUAUGAUGUGCCGCUACCGCACNCAUGUGUGUGAUGGGCCGCUACCGCGCCAGCUCCUUCCCCUUCGAAGAAGAGGUACCUGAAACCAAAACAAAAAACUGUAAGCACGAAGCUUAGUGAGUUCCCCCAUUGUACCGCAUACCAUACAAUCACAUAACAUACAUAUACUGUCAGGCAUAUCAGGGUGCCCGACCUACCCCUUUGGUCCUCUCGACCGGAUGCUGCCUAGCAUACCUGGGUGUUGGCCUUCCCUUCGGUCCUCUCGACCAGAUACUGCCUAGUAUAUAUGGGUGCUGGCCUCCCUAACGGUCCUCUCAAUCGGAUACUGUUUAGCAUACCUGGGUGUUGGCCUCCUCUUCGGUCCUCUCGAUUGGAUGAUGGGGACUAUUUCACCCCUCUACUACUACCACAUAGCAUGUAAUACGUAACCAUAUUCUAUCUACUAUGACUGGGUAUAACCACCCCCUUUGGCCCUAUCGACCGGUAACCUUGGGGACUAUCUCCUCUACUGCUACUAGCAUCUAAUAUCAUAUCAUACUAGCUCACAACAUAUUAGGUAGUAGCAAACCUAGAUGAAUAUCACAAAGACAAUCAUCUAACAUACAACUCCUACUGGUGGGCCGACAUUGUGACCGUAGACCCACCGCUACUGGAAGGUAACUCACCUCGAACAAGUAGCUGCUGAUAAUCUGUGCGGGAAACCUCUGCAUGCUGCUGCUCCAGAAGUCCUCCGGCUAUAAUCCCCACAAAACACUCAGUCAGAAACUGAUAUCUACUCUUAGGGUAAAAUGACUAUUUUACCCCCAACCAAGUCCAAGUCAAAGUCAACUUCCAGUUGACCCGACUCGUCGAGUUGGGCCGUCAACUCGUCGAGUCUCUUUCUUUUACUCGUCCUCAUCCACGACUCGACUCGACGAGUUCCCCUUCUGUAUGAACAUCAAUGAACCUUCAUCCGACUCGCCGAGUCGGAUGAACACUCGUCGAGUUCACCUUCAUCUGAUGAACAAGUCCUGACCCUGACUCGCCGCUUGUAUGAACAAAUCGUCGAGUUCAUCUUCAUCCAUAAGAAGAUUGCCUUGGACUCGCCGAGUUUGUUCUAGUACUCGUCGAGUCCUAUGAACUCUAGGUCUAAAACUAAGUCCAAUGCGUUGGGUCACUCUUUCAGUCCUGCUACAACCCUUCUAACACUCAACUGAGUCCUUUUGACUCUUAAUAGAUAUGGGUCUCAAGGCCUUGGACUCGUCGAGUCCCAAGAACGGACUCGUUGAGACGAUAACGUCCAUGCUCUAUUUCCUCGAUUUCUGGCGUACAACUUUUGACCAAAUGAUAGAUCCAAGUCCCCAAGCUCGGUCUAUCACGUAAAGUUUCGAACUUUACGUGCAUGCAUGGGACCUUUGAGCCAAAAAAAGCUCUAAAUUGACUCUUGUGUUGCAUGGGACCUUCCUUGGGUGCAAAAGCAACCCAAAUCUGCUUUGUGACUCCUUCCAAGACUUAGAUCCGAAGUCUUGACCCCUAACCAUGUUUGCAAUCAUGGUUGGCCACCUCAUUUGGCUUAAAAAGCCCUAAAUCUUCCCCAAAAAGGGAUCUAACAAAUGAACAAGCAAGGUACAAACUUUAUACCUUUCAAGGACUGGAAAUGAUGCACCAAACUCGAAUCCUUCAGUCUCCUCUUGACCCUUCUAUGCUCUUCCUUCAUCGUUGAGGUCAAAACCCACAAAAAUCACUCAAAAGCCUUAGAUCUUGCACCAAAACACUUAGGGUUUACUAGGGUGGGUUUCUGGGAGCAUUAGGCACGAGUGGUGGCUGAAUGAGAUGAUUAAAUAGGGUGCAAACCCUCAGAUUAGGGUUUUGUCUAUCCAGAGCCUACUCGUCGAGUCCGAGACCCAACUCGACAAGUCCAUCACUUAAAUCCCGCGUCCCAUCCCGCUUCUACUCGGCGAGUUGGUCCUUCAACUCGCCGAGUCCAAGGCCAAAAAUGCAAAAUACUUAAAUAAAUUACAUACCAAGAAUCAAGUGCUACAUUUGUGCUUACGGUUUUCAGUUUAUGUUUCAGGUACUCUGAUUUAGGGAUGUUAUUCGGGUCGGAACCGAACCGAAUAAACCGAAAACCGAAUAAGGCUAAUUGUAUUAAUCGAAAACCGAACCAAAUAAGCAAUACGGGUUCGGUUUGGUUCGGGUAUUAUUCGGUUCCGGCCCGAAUAACCCAAAUAACCUGUGCAAGAUGAUUAAGGAGUCAAAUAACCCGAAUAACCCGACUAACUCGAAUAUUUUGUAGUCGAAUAACCCGAAUAACCCUAAUAGCCCGAAUAACCCGAAUAACCCAAAUAUUUUGUAUUACUUUUGAAUCUUAUGAUUUCAUAAAUAUAUAACCUGAAUAACAUGUACAAAAUGAUUAAGGAGUCGAAUAACCCGAAUAAAUAUUGUAUUUUUUAUGACUUUUGUAGCUUAUGAUUUCAUAACAAACCUUUUAAAGAAACAAAUUAAACACUAAAAAUUAAACACCCAAAAAUCUAUCCAUAAGUAUAUAAGUUAAACAUUAAACAUUCANAACAUUAAACUUCAACACCCAAAUAAAAAUAUGAAUCUUAAGUUUUUAUCCGAUAUCCAAAAUAACAUUUUUCAAACACGAAUUAACUAUUUGAGAAUAUUAAUUGGUUGUUUUCCCUUUCGAUCUCCGUUCUUUAUCGCAUCUUCUAAAGCUUUCGCGACCUCAUCGUCUUUCAAAAUUUCAUCAAUGUUGUCCACAAUUUGCUUUCUUGAUUUCCUUACCCAAUCUUGAGUGCAAACCAAAGCCUCUACUAUAUUUGCAGACAAAUUUGUUCUAUAUGGAUCCAAUAUCCGCCCGCUUGUACUAAACGCCGCCUCUGACGCCACGGUAGAGAUUUGCAGUCCCAAAAUAUCUAUCAGCAUAAACAUAGAAAAUGUUAAAAUAUAAUUAUAUAAAAAAGUAUACAAAAAAUAAAGUUAUACCUUUCGCCAUACGGGAUACAAUAGGGUAACGAGAUGCAUUUUGUUUCCACCAAAGUAGAAUAUCAAAAUCUUUAUUGUAUUUAACUGACUGCUCGUUUAGGUAUCGUGUCAACUCCGUUUCCAUUGAUGCCGAUGGGUAAUCAGUUUGAACUAUUAAAUCACCCAUGAAGUCAUUCUCAUCAUCAAUCACAACUACAUCUUCAUGACCAUGUGUUUGAUUUUGAGAAGAGUCGGUAUUGUCAAACUUUGAUUUGUAGAAAUAAAAAAAAUUCUCAAAUCUUUGUUGAAGACCCCGUAUUAAGACCUUAGCCUUCAAAAUGACUUCCGAGUUGAGCAUAGGAUCUUUUUGUGGAUUCUUCAACUUAAUCAACUUCUCAAAAGCUUGUUGAAGAAAAUCAAACUUGAACCGUGGAUCUAAUAUGACUGCAAAAUACAAAAAGUCAUUUAAUUUUUCAAUAUAGCCCCAAUACUUAUCGUAUUUAUCAAUAAUUUCCUUCCCGAUCAAACAAAAUUGGGGACUAGCCGCCCAUUCCUUAAUGUGUUUGUACACAUCACAUAUUUCUCCAAAAAACUGAUGUGUCAUCGGUUUUGUUGACGUCGAUACUAUGUCGGUUUUCAUCUUGAAUUUCUCAAGAAAUCCAACCAUAGCUAUACAAAUGUUGAAAUCUUCUUUUGAGGGGGUCAAAAGUCUCGAACAAAUGUAAGAUCUAUUAUAAUAAAGUAAAUGUUAGUAUUUAUUUUUGUAAAAAAAAAACAGCUUUAAUACCCUUUGUUUAGGAGCCUAUAACUCACUGAAUAUACAACCAAAUAACGCGUAUAAAUAGUGUAAACUGUAGUUCAAAUUGUAAACUACAAGCUGGAAAAAAAAUCGGGCUAAUCGGACAAAUAACGAAUACGUUAUGACUCUUCAAAGUUGGCUAAAAAUUUGUAAAAAUGUUGAAACAGAAAAACUCAAAUUUAAUAUCCAAUGUUUAGACGCCUAUAACUCAAUGAAUAUACAACCAAAUAACACGUAUAAAUAGUGUAAAUUGUAGUUCAAAUUGUAAACUACAAGCUGGAAAAAAAUCGGGCUAAUUGGAAAAAUAACGAACACGUUAUGACUCUUCAAAGUUGGCUAAAAAUUUGUAAAAAUGUGGAAACAGAAAAACUCAGAUUUAAUAUCCAAUGUUUAGAGGCCUAUAACUAAAUGAAUAUAUCACCAAAUAACGUGUAUAAAUAGUGUAAACUGUAGUUCAAAUUGUAAACUACAAGCUGGAAAAAUUAUCGGGCUAAUUGGACAAAUAACGAACACGUUAUGACUCUUCAAAGUUGGCUAAAAAUUUGUAAAAAUGCUGAAACAGAAAAACUCAGAUUUAAUAUCCAAUGUUUAGAGGCCUAUAACUAAAUGAAUAUACCACCAAAUAACGUGUAUAAAUAGUGUAAACUGUAGUUCAAAUUGUAAACUACAAGCUAGAAAAAAAA